rnacentral:rRNA from 1 species
AUUGAACGCUGGCGGAAUGCUUUACACAUGCAAGUCGAACGGCAGCACGGACUUCGGUCUGGUGGCGAGUGGCGAACGGGUGAGUAAUGUAUCGGAACGUGCCCAGUCGUGGGGGAUAACGUAGUGAAAAUUACGCUAAUACCGCAUACGAUCUAUGGAUGAAAGCGGGGGAUCGCAAGACCUCGCGCGAUUGGCGCGGCCGAUAUCAGAUUAGGUAGUUGGUGGGGUAAAGGCCCACCAAGCCAACGAUCUGUAGCUGGUCUGAGAGGACGACCAGCCACACUGGAACUGAGACACGGUCCAGACUCCUACGGGAGGCAGCAGUGGGGAAUUUUGGACAAUGGGCGAAAGCCUGAUCCAGCCAUUCCGCGUGCAGGAUGAAGGCCCUCGGGUUGUAAACUGCUUUUGUACAGAACGAAAAGGUUUCUACUAAUACUAGGAGCUCAUGACGGUACUGUAAGAAUAAGCACCGGCUGACUACGUGCCAGCAGCCGCCGCAG